CGUAGCAAAGCUACGCUAAUACCGCAUACGAUCUAUGGAUGAAANCGGGGGAUCGCAAGACCUCGCGCGAUUGGAGCGGCCGAUAUCAGAUUAGGUAGUUGGUGAGGUAAAGGCUCACCAAGCCGACGAUCUGUAGCUGGCUGAGAGGACGACCAGCCACACUGGGACUGAGACACGGCCCAGACUCCUACGGGAGGUCAGCAGUGGGGAAUUUUGGACAAUGGGCGCAAGCCUGAUCCAGCAAUGCCGCGUGCAGGAUGAAGGCCUUCGGGUUGUAACUGCUUUGUACGGAACGAAACGGUAAGCUCUAAUACAGUUUGCUAAUGACGGUACCGUAAGAAUAAGCACCGGCUAACUACGUG
rnacentral:rRNA from 1 species